rnacentral:lncRNA from 1 species
GCAACAAUGCUCAGCUAAAGCUAGGUGACAGAAUUUUAAGAGAGGAUUCCAAGAAAAUAAUAACCUAAACAAGCUAAGGUUGACGACAAAGAAAGGGUAAACAGCAAGGGGAAAUUCAGAUUUUACUCAUUGUCUUUUUGGUAUUUUUAUUAGGCUUGAGGGAUUAAAACACUAACGCAAACGAGAAUCAAUAUUAGGGAAACCUGCUAGACAAGAACACAUAUAACUAUCAUACAUGAAUAGAAUAUAUAUGACAUAUAUAGCUAGUACUCUUACAUUUUAAAUGAGAAUCACAAAGUAACAGUACAACUCUCACAACACAAACACUCACACAUAUAUAACUAGCAAUGACAGAAGGAAAGAAACAAGCUUAUAUGAUAGGGACAAAAAUAUAUCACAACACAAACAUAUAUGUUUUCACAGGAACAAAGUUAACAAAAACACUACAGAACACACAUCACACAUAUGAAAACAGGGAGAGGUUACAAGACAUAAUUCUAGUACUCUGAGAUGAACAACACAAGUACUAUUAAUCAAGGACAAGUCUGAAACUGAACAAGUGUCAAGCACUACUCAAAUCUGAACAUUACAAAGCAUUACACAUCUCAGCUUACAGAAAAAUCAGAGAAAGAUAAUGAGGGAAACAGCAGUAGUAGGGGUUCAGAGAAGCAGCAAGGCGGCGAGUGAGGAGCAGCAAGGGGCGCUGGAGAGGAGCAACAGCAGGUUGGAGAUUAGAGUUGUAACAGCAGCAGGGGCGUCAGGGAGAGAGAAACAACAGGUUGAAGCAACAGCAGCAAGGGGAUGCAAGGAGAAGGAGCAAAAGGGAAAAUGAGCAACAGCAAGGAGAUUCAGAGACGAGGGAAGGAGGAGAAGAAGAACAAGAGGCAGCAGCCGGUUCGUGGAGAAGAAGCAACAGGUUGGGGCAAGGGAAGGGGAAGAAGCACCCACAGGCAGAGAGCAGAGGAGUGGUGGAUGGCGCGCUCACGCGGGACACCAGACGGGCUGUUUGGUCGGUCGCGCCAGAUGCGUCGGUGGCUGGAGAUGGUGGAUGGAUGGCGCGGAAUGAUGGUGGGGGUGCUGGUGGUGUAGGGUGAUGGUGGAGUGGUGGAUGGAAAUGAGUGGAUGGAUGGCUACGGGGGCGCACCACCAUGCCGGCCUGGCCAUGGCGGCGGCCGAAGGUGGAGAAGGAGGGUGAGGGAGAUGAAGAUGCCAGGCUCGAUUUGGGAAUGGAGCAGUGCUAGGGAUUUUGACCCCCUCCCUGAUCUGUCUUUUGUUUACUUUGGCCCUCCUCCUUUCUUCUUUCUUCCCAAGUAGAUCCUCUCUUCUAUAGUUGGCCCCCUGGCUACUUCGUUUCUUCUCGCACAAGUCCAUUCUUCCUCCUCUUCUUCAUUCUCUUAGCCACUUAGUCAGGAUCUUGAAGAUUUAUAGUGCCUUCUCGCACUUAUCUGCAAAAGAAACAAAUGACUAGUGAAUGACUCUUUAAAUGAUUUUCAUGCAAAUAUUCAAUAUUUUACAGCAAGGGUUGAUGGUCAUAACUCAAUAAACCGCAUAUUUGAGUGCCAAAAUAUGUGUAUGAAAUGUGCUUAUCAAGUUCCCCCACACUUAAACUUUUGCUUGUCCUCAAGCAAAGGAACAAAAUUGAUGGUGACACAACUCACACUGCCUAGUAAAGAUGCACUUUCCGAUAGAUAGUAAUUCCGACAAUACUGGAACUAAGCAAAUGUACUCUACUGAAGCUAAGUUGUGAUAAGAAAUAUUUUAUAACACACUGUAAAUGUUCCAAGUCAAUGGCCUUGAGUCAAAGUGAAUACUAAUAAUCAAGAGCUGGCUCUGUCUUCAGCCCUGAGAUAAGCUGGGACCCCAAAAUCAAUUAGAAAAACAAGUUACAUAUUGAAUUUAAAGCACAAGUGAUGAUAUUAUAUCAGUCUCACCAAAGGAACAUACCACCGAUCCCGAGAACAUGGUAUACACCUGGCUCGACCAAAUUAUUAGUAUAUUUUUUUGUUAUCUCCCCAAAGGAACAUACCACCGAUCCCGAGAACAUGGUAUACAUCUGGUUCGACAAAUUAUUAGCAUAUUUUUUUGUUAUUAUCUCCCCAAAGGAACAUACCACCGAUCCCGAGAACAUGGUAUACACCUGGUUCGACAAAUUAUAGCAUUUUUUAUAUAAUUUUUUUUACAGUCCAAUCUACCAGAUUUCACAAGCCACCGAUCCAGGGAACAUGACAUGCUACUAUAGGUCGAUCGGACUUAAAUUAUUAUAAUUAUUUAUUUAGUUAUUUGAAAAUUACUUAGCUUAAGUAAAACAGGAAUAAUUGAAAGAGGAAUCCAUAGCUAAUGGCACUGUUUUUCACAUACUACAGAUCCAGAGAUCAUAGCUACUACUUAAGUGCCACCAGUUACUUAGCUUAACUUGGGACAGUCGGACACAGCACAUCAAUUCAUUAGUAGGUUUCACUUAGACUCAAGGCAUUCCCAUUGAACAUUUACAUGGAGGUAUAAAGUAUUCAUUAUCACAAAUUACCAUAAGAAGAAUACAGCUGCAUAGUUUUAGUAUUAAGAGAAUCAACAAUCUUCUUAGAGUGAAUCCUACUUUGAAGUGAAGAGUAAGGUGUCACAAUGCAAAAAGAGUUUCAAUGCAAUAAAAUGCCAGUUCUCGUACUAAAUUUUCUAAAGGUUGCUUCAAGUGGAACAGAAUCACCUGGUAUUUGUAUACUCUUCUCUCCUACUUUCUUCUCUCCACUCUUCUCUCUUUGUGUUCUCUGUUUGUGCUCCCCUCAUCGCCAUGCUCUGACUCCACCAGGAUCCCAAGGAAUGUCACCUCGAACCUGGUCAGCAUGUAGUAAAUAGUGCAGUAGCAAAAGCCUGAAAUAGGACUCACACAAACAACUACAAGUGAUACGGUCGAUGCCCUCCAAGUCAUCAAUGGAAUAUCCAAUUAUAUAAGCAUAACUAUAAAGCACAUGUUUAGGAUGGCAGAAAUCAGCAUGGUCAAUACUCACACGAGGAUGACAUUUAUCAUUAAGCUCAAGACUAGCAUGAGGAAAGUAAUUGUGAUCAUCACAAAUCAGAGCAAUGCCACUAACAGGGUAUAUAUCAUCAUAUCCAAGCAAAUGAGUUUUCAAAUCAAUCUUAAGUGAUGGUAUCACGUAAUGCAAGGUGGUAGCAAAGAAAUCACAAGGCAUCAUGUCAUCAAGAGGAUUGAGUAAACCUGACACAUCACACUCUGGUAUGACAAUAGGCAAAUGAAUCUCAUGUUCUUCAUCUUCAUCUACACCAGCUUCUUGUACUUCUUCAGGAGUAAUAGAUGAUGAGUCUUCAACUUGAUCACUUGGGAAUUGCAGCUCUUGACCAUCUUGUUCCUUGUCUUCUAGUUCAUCUUCUUCAAUCUGAGGUAUCUCUUGCUCAAGGCACUUGUUAACUUGCUCAAUGAAAUGUGAAGGUGUUGGAACCUCACAUGUAUCCAUGGAUAUCUCAGCCACACUCAACUCAAGUUGUGAAGAAAUAGUGCUGCCAGCGUUGAUGUUCUUCUCAAUCUUCCUUACUUCUUCCACUAGCUCCUUUCCACUCUUAAUCUUCUUCAUUUCCUCUAGUAUAACCUUCCUAAUAGGAUCAUCCUCGGCACUCCAAGUGAACUCGAGACUCAAAAGCGUGAGCUUGUCUAUGUCAUCGAACUCAUCUUGUGUGGGCACUUGCACAUGAGAUUGCUCGAAAGGUGCUGGAGUUGUUGGUUGACCAAAUGGAGGACCAUUUAACUCCAUUGGACACAUCUCCUGGUAUUGAGGUAUAUGAGUAGGAGGUGAAUAAAUCUGUUGUGGAGCAUAGUUGUGGUUCUCCUCAUUGUACCUGAAUCCCUGCAUAUGAUUACUAGAACCAAACUGUGAGAUCUCAGGGUUGUUGCUCCUAUAUGACAUAUUCGGGAUUUCAGGCCACCCAUGUGAGUAAUUGUUCUGGUAUGAGCUAUGCUCUUGAGCGAAGCUCAUGCCAAAACAAUCCGGAGUGUGAGAGUAGCCACGCUGACAUUCAGCGGGCGAAUGGCCCUGAAAUCCACAAAUAUGGCAAGUAGGAGCAACAUAAGGAUGGCCUCUGGAAUAAGGAUCGUAAGAACUAGGCCUAUCCUCAAAAACUCCUUCUCGCUGCCGAGCUAAAUCAUCUAAUCGAUGGGAAAUCUUACCUAUCAGUUCUUGAACACUUUCCGUGCUGUUUGUAGUGUUGCUCGCAUAAGCCUGAUGAUCUGAAUAGUAAGCCAUAACCGAGAGGAUAAUCCAACUGCAAAAAGGAAAAGAAGACAAAAAGAUACUAACUAAAACAGGGGUUAGUGGCUAGAGAUAUAUCACAAAUAUAUAGCACAAAGGGAAAAACAAGAAAAACCUAGUCUAUGGCCUAACAAAAUCUCUCGACGCUACUCCCCGGCAACGGCGCCAAAAUGAUCGUUUGUAAUACAGCGGGGUUUUUACGCCCCAAACUAUGGAUGUCGUGUUCUCCACAGGGACUAGGCGACAGCAACAAUGCUCAGCUAAAGCUAGGUGACAGAAUUUUAAGAGAGGAUUCCAAGAAAAUAAUAACCUAAACUAGCUAAGGUUGACGACAAAGAAAGGGUAAACAGCAAGGGGAAAUUCAGAUUUUACUCAUUGUCUUUUUGGUAUUUUUAUUAGGCUUGAGGGAUUAAAACACUAACGCAAACGAGAAUCAAUAUUAGGGAAACCUGCUAGACAAGAACACAUAUAACUAUCAUACAUGAACAGAAUAUAUAUGACGUAUAUAGCUAGUACUCUUACAUUUUAAAUGAGAAUCACAAAGUAACAGUACAACUCUCACAACACAAACACUCACACAUAUAUAACUAGCAAUGACAGAAGGAAAGAAACAAGCUUAUAUGAUAGGGACAAAAAUAUAUCACAACACAAACAUAUAUGUUUUCACAGGAACAAAGUUAACAAAAACACUACAGAACACACAUCACACAUAUGCAAAUAGGGGGAGGUUACAAGACAUAAUUCUAGUACUCUGAGAUGAACAACACAAGUACUAUUAAUCAAGGACAAGUCUGAAACUGAACAAGUGUCAAGCACUACUCAAAUCUGAACAUUACAAAGCAUUACACAUCUCAGCUUACAGAAAAAUCAGAGAAAGAUAAUGAGGGAAACAGCAGUAGUAGGUGUUCAGAGAAGCAGCAAGGGGGCGAGUGAGGAGCAGCAAGGGGGCGCUGGAGAGGAGCAACAUCAGUUUGGAGAUUAGAGUUGUAACAGCAGCAGGGGCGUCAGGGAGAGAGAAACAGCAGGUUGAAGCAACAGCAGCAAGGGGAUGCAAGGAGAAGGAGCAGAAGGGAAUAGGAGCAGCAGCAAGGAGAUUCAGAGACGAGGGAAGGAGGAGAAGAAGAACAAGAGGCAGCAGCCGGUUCGUGGAGAAGAAGCAACAGGUUGGGGAAAGGGAAGGGGAAGAAGCACCCGCAGGCAGAGAGCAGAGGAAGGAGUGGUGGAUGGCGCGCUCGCGCGAGACACCAGACGGGCUGUUUGGUUGGUCGCGCCAGAUGCGUCAGUGGCUGGAGAUGGUGGAUGGAUGGCGCGGAAUGAUGGUGGGGGUUCUGGUGGUGCAGGGUGAUGGUGGAGUGGUGGAUGGAGAUGAGUGGAUGGAUGGCUACGGGGGCGCACCACCACGCCGGCCUGGCCGUGGCGGCGGCCGGAGGUGGAGAAGGAGGGUGAGGGAGAUGAAGAUGCCAGGCUCGAUUUGGGAAUGGAGCAGUGCUAGGGAUUUUGACCCCCUCCCUGAUCUGUCUUUUUUUUACUUUGGCCCUCCUCCUUUCUUCUUUCUUCCCAAGUAG